GACGAACGCUGGCGGCGUGCUUAACACAUGCAAGUCGAACGAAGUGGCGAACGGGUGAGUAAUACGUGAGUAACCUGCCCUCCUUUUUGGGAUAAGCCUUGGAAACGGGGUCUAAUACCGAAUAAAGGGGGAUGGGCUCGCGGCCUAUCAGCUUGUUGGUGGGGGGAUGGCCUGCCAAGGCGGUGACGGGUAGCCGGCCUGAGAGGGUGACGGGCGAAGUUGGGACUGAGAUACGGCCCAGACUGCUACGUGAGGCAGCAGUGGGGGGUAUUGCAGAAUGGGCGAAAGCCUGAUGCAGCGGCGCCGCGUGGGGGAUGAAGGCUUUCGGGUUGUAAACCUCUUUCGCUAUCAACAGGGUAGGUGGAGAAGAAGCGACGGCUAACUACGUGCCAGCCGCCGCGGUAAUUC
rnacentral:rRNA from 1 species